AGCAGUGGACCUACUAGAAAUAAUGAAAUACUUUAGAAAAGGCGAAACAGUCAGAUCAGAAUAUGAGAAAGCUCUGCUGUUGGCUGCACUGUUCCUUAGAUGAGGCGAGUAGGUGCUGAUGGAGUCUGUCCUGUGUCUGGGAUCCACAAGCAGCUUUCUGUCCCCUUAGAGCAGGUGUUCAUUGCUGGGUUUCUGUGCAGAUAGAAACCUUACCUUUAGCAAGCUGCUGUGCUGUGUGUGCCUGCAGAAUUGCCACGAGAGGAAAUACUUCAGAGGGGCUUCCCUCCAGCUAAGCCCUGAAUAUGCCAGGAGGUUUCAGCCGGGAGGAAAGGAGCUGUGGAAGAAAAGCAGCCUAAAAAUAGCCAGCGGGGAUCAUCAGGUUUUCCAGCCAAGAAGAACAAGGAGAGAGAUGAGGGAAUCGGGUUCCAAUUCCUAAUGAUUUGGUGGGUGCAGGAAUGAUUUCUGUGUGUUUUCCAGUCCCUUUUGAUUCCUGAGAUGAUUUUAAAAUGAUGGCUUUAGCAAUCAACUAAAUCGGAGAUGUUGUUUUUGAGAGGAAAUGAUGCCAAAUAAAUGCAGAGUUUUGGGUCAGUUUUUGG